CCUAAAACGGUCAAAAGUUACUUGUGUAUCUUUGAAAACCUGACACCUUGUGUGGGAUCGAUGGCAUUAUUUUUCAUAUCUUUAUCAACCUGACAGUAAAAAGUUGAACCCUAAUUUGAAGUCCGGCCAAGCCAAUAAUAGGCACUUUAAAAGCUUCUAGUCAGGAUACAUCAUGCAACUUUAAAGGAUAUUCUGUUGUUCUUCCUUGAGCUGCAUCACCCCGCUGUAGUCGAUGGACUCGACUGGAAGUCGCCGUACAAACAAGCGGCUGCUGGAAGAGAGUGGGUGAGUUGUGUUUAGUCUCUUUGUUCAAGAAAUCAGGCAAAACUAAAAAGAUGUUUGGUGGCUAGUACUAUGUGCUAGGACCCUCUAUGUACUGUUGAUAAAAUUAGCUGCUGUUCUGAACAUUAUUUGUGGCCAUUGAGUGGCGUUUUGGUUGAGCGCAUGGGUCUCUGCAUAGCUAUCUGCAGUCAUUACUAAAGUUGGUAUUACUAGAGAAGGAAGCGGUCGGCAACAUUCAUUUCUCGAGGGGUUGUCUAACUCGGUGUUACAGUGUGUUUGACCCUAACUUAAUUUUACACCGGAAUAUCCCUUUUUCACAGCAUCGGAGUGGAGUAGAGGAUAGAAAUGUACAUGUAAGCCAUGUUAAAGCAUCCCUUUUAUGAAUGUUGAGCUGUGCCACAUUUGCUUUUCUUCCCAGUUUUACAUGAAUUAUACAUUUCCAUACCAAGGUUUAUGACAAAGCUUAAAACUAGCAUGAACUUGUUUUUGGAUUCAACUUUAAAGCAAUUGAGGGCAAAACUGUGCAGUUCACUCUUCAGCAAACACUCUUGUUUGCCUUCAUGGAAAUAGGAUAUUAUGAAAAUUCCCUGAUAGUAAUAGGAAAAUCUGUCCUCUCUCUUCAUUGUAUUGUCAUGAGGGAAGCUAUAGUGCACCACAAGAAAGAACCACUGCAUUGUAACAAACAGAACCAGAAGCCUCUAGAUUUUGUUUUUUUUCGUCAAAGGAACUGAAGGCCAAGAUGAGCAUGGCAACAUGAUUUUUUAUCGUAACAUGCCAACUUUAUGAAAAUUCUGACUAUAGUUUGAUUUGGAUAUGACCAGUGGGAUGUAUGUGGCCAAACAACACAAGCUGUUUUAUCACCUCAACUCCACAAGAUGGCAGCUUUUACCAACACAUGAUAUCUUUUCUGCAUACUGCCCCACCCUGGUUCACACAUUGUGACUGAAAAUAACCUGAAGAUGCUUACCAAGUAGGAAUAUCUUUCAUGCAACAUCAGCAUCAUUCAUGAAGGUGUACAUUUUUAAAAUUGUACACAGGCGUUUAGAUGCAAAGACAAGCGCUAAACUUUGCACAGUACAUUUUUGAGCCGUACAUUUGAUCAGCUUGAUAUCAGAGCUGAGGAAUACUUGAAUCUUCAUCUGGCAGUCACUUAAUAAACUACUAUCAUGGAUGCUUUUGUCUUUGCGAGACCGAUGAUUAUUCAUUGCUGUGAUCCUAAACUAAGAUAAAUAGCAAUUAUAAGUGUGAAUUGUUUGACAGACAAAUUCUGACAAUUUAAAGUAAAACUAAGUUAAUCUCUUUCUUUCUUUCUUACUCUCCAUCCCACAUUAACUUUAACAAGCCUUGUGACACUGGUCAGGAACCCUUCCUGCACUGACUCAACUUGGAUUCAACUGAUUAAAGCUGAGUUGAGAUAUUAUAACUGUCUCUUUUGAUUCUGAACUCUAGAUAAUGCUUAUCUUCACAGAGCUGUGUCUUCACUGAGCUGUAGCAGCAUGCUUGUUUGUGAAGAUUAAAAUGAUGAAAAAGCACGUUUAAUUUUCACCUUGUAUUCCAGGAUAUCAGAGGAUGGGAUGAAAAUUUAGUUGCCCAGUCAUGCAAUUCCAUCUUUUCUGGAGAUAAUAAAAUGCUGAUUAGAAACGUUGUACCAGGAUAAUCAGCAGGGUUGUCACAGUUGCCUCUGCGCUGUUUGACAAAUAACACACACAAAUGAGUUCCUACAAGUCACACAUGAAUGGCCCUGAAAACUCUGUGACAACUGCAUGAUCUGGUUCUCAAUAGACACCCCCAUGUCAGUCAUGCAAAUGUGUAAGAUUGAAUGUAAUAGCCGAAGUGUAUGGGGAUGUCAGUUUUUUCUUAUUUGAUCUGUCUGUUUAUGGAAAAAAGACAAGACCACAAUAAAGAGCAUUUUGAAGCCAGUGCAGUUAUUAAAGUUCUUUGAGAAAUUGGUUUUAAAUUUAAAUCUAGUGCUCAAAUCUGUCCCUUAUAGUCUCCCAUGCUGAUGUGUAAUUGGAGAGAAAGGGGCAACAUUUAUGGCAUGAAUGCAUGGAAGACAAGCAAACUUUUUAAUUGAUUCAUUUUAUUUCCUGUCUGUAGAAUAAAACAAUAAGCCAUUAUAAUCAGCCAAGAUCUCCAACUGGUCCUCCUCUGGGCAUCUGUUCUGCCUAACUUGAAAAAAAAAAAACUGCAAUUCACCUUUGCAUUGGUAUGUAGGAUCCACGAUUCACAUUAUCCAGGUAAGUUCUUGCUUUUAAUUCAAACAUUAAUGUCAAGAGUGUAUAUGCUGACAUUCCUGUUUUGGUAUUUUUGAGGUUUGUUUGCUGUAUAAAAAAAUACAUAUUCAAACUUUAAUAUGAGAGUAAGUGGGCAAAAGCAUUUCAUUUUGCAAUUUCUUCUGGACUUUUCCGAUAGCUUGAUGCAAAGUCUGGUUAGUACAAGGCUGAUGAUAAUAUUACCCUUUUACCUAACAGGUGGUUGACAUGGUCUCAGUGACGCCCUUUCUAUCUCAUUUCAUCAUUAGAUGGUCUAUUCCCCACUCGUGUUACUGUGUUGAAUUGGUCACAGGAUAUCAGCCACAAGAUGGCCUCAUAUGAUUUCAGAUUCUUUAAAAAAACAUUCAAUUUUAUUUUUUCGGGAGGGAUGGGGUCAAGACAGAGAUGCCACAUAUUCUCUUCCUGGUCGUAAGGCUGAGUAGACUUAUAUAUGGCUGGACUGAAUGUGACUCAGUUUGAAACUUAAGUGGAUUUUUCUUUGGGAUUGUUAAGUAUUGCUUUAUUUAUCCUCAAUCCUAAAUCUGAAUGAACCAUUGACACAUGUUGUAUAAUACUCCUGAUUUAUGUCCUCUGUUUGUGCCCUGGACACAUAUCUUUUCAAUUUGUCCAAAGAUGAAAGAUUUGUACUUCUUCUGUGUUAAAACCAUUACUGCCACAGUCUUUUGACAAUGUUCAUAACCCGAACUAUUCCAUGCUCUCUUAUAUAGGGAAAUACUAGCAUCAUACAGAAUUGAUACACCAUACAGUGUUUCUUUAUGUUUUGAAUUCACAGUCAGAUACAGUGAUGGGAAUGCAACUUGUGAAUUAUCAAACACAUGUUGAAUACUGACUGGUAGCCAAGGUUAUCUCCAAACAAUCACACAUACUUGAUGGCACAUUUUAAAUGGUUUAAAGAAACAGACAUGGACCUUCAAGUUAACAUGGAUAAUUCUCAAGAAUUAUACCCCCGUUCUCAUCACUUUAAUUGUUUGCUGCUGCUCCUGCUAAUUACCUUCUCCUCAUCACUAACAGGUCUUCCUCUUCUCUUUAUCCCUUAAUAAUAAUUGGAUGGAAACCUAAAGAAAAAAGUGAAGGAGGCUGCUCAUCAAUUAAGGAACUGAAUGGGUUCCUCUGUAGUUCACAGUCGUGCUGAUGAAUGUAACACUUGCGCAUAUAAACCCUUAAGGAGCACAGUUUGUGUAAUCAUGAACAUGUAGGUACAACCUCUCACAAUAUGUAAGGUCUUUGUAGAUCUGGAAAAAGAAAAUCCCGCUUAAUUUGGUCACCUACUGGCUUGUAAAUCUUUAAGUAACUUGACUGAUUUUUUGGGUGGUGACAUGUUUAAAUGAACAUCUCCAAUUAAAGUGACCCUCAGUGUCUG